rnacentral:rRNA from 1 species
GGCGGACGGGUGAGUAACGCGUACGAACCUACCCCUUGGAGAGGGAUAGCCACUGGAAACGGUGAUUAAUACCUCGUAUGCUGAGGAGUGAAAGACCGUAAGGUCGCCAAGGGAUGGGCUUGCGUCUGAUUAGCUAGUUGGUGGGGUAAAGGCCUCCCAAGGCGAUGAUCAGUAGCUGGUCUGAGAGGACAAUCAGCCACACUGGGACUGAGACACGGCCCAGACUCCUACGGGAGGCAGCAGUGAGGAAUUUUCCGCAAUGGGCGAAAGCCUGACGGAGCAAUGCCGCGUGGAGGAGGAAGGCCUGUGGGUCGUAAACUCCUUUUCUCAGAGAAGAAGUUCUGACGGUAUCUGAGGAAUAAGCAUCGGCUAACUCUGUGCCAGCAGCCGCGGUAAUACAGGGGAUGCAAGCGUUAUCCGGAAUUAUUGGGCGUAAAGCGUCCUGAGGUGGCUUACCCAGUCGACUGUGAAAGCUCAAGGCUUAACCUUGAAACGGCAGUCGAAACUUGUAAGCUUGAGUACGGUAGGGGCAGAGGGAAUUCCCGGAGGAGAGGUGAAAUUCGUAGAUAUCGGGAGGAAGGCCAAAGGCGAAAGCACUCUGCUGGGCCGAUUACUGACACUGACAGACGAAAGCUAGGGGAGCGAAAGGGAUUAGAUACCCCUGUAGUCCUAGCCGUAAACGAUGGAUACUAAGUGUUGCGCGACUCAAAACGUGCAGUGCUGCAGCUAACGCGGUAAGUAUCCCGCCUGGGGAGUAUGCCCGCAAGGGUGAAACUCAAAGGAAUUGACGGGGGGCCAAGCAAG